CUUCUCUCCCCCCUGGGAAGGCUCCUGGGGAGUUAAUGAUUGGUAAAACCUGAAGAAAUCUGUUGGAACCAGUCCAUUUCUGUUUUAGAGGGGAAUACGGCUCAGUGUCGAAGAACAAAGUUCACAGGUGUGUAAGAGAAGGAGGAAAAAAGGAUUGGGGUUGAGAGUUGGAAGCUAAUCUCUGAAGUCGUGGUAAGGAGUCUUUCAAAGCAGCAGCCAGUGGAAAGAGCACACAUCUGGAAAUGGGGUGAACUUGAUUCUAGGCCCAGCUCUGCCAAAGACGUGCUGUGGAAUCUCCAGCAAGCUGCUUCAACUCUCUGUGCCUCAUCUUCCUCAUCUGUAAAAUGGGGAUGAUAAUAAUAACUGCUUCCCCCAAACUCACAGGCAUGGGGUAUAAGGCCAAAAUGCGACAAAGAUUGUGAAAGUGCUCUGAAAAAGUAAAAAACUCUUCUACAAA